AAUAGCUCACUAGUCGAGUGACUCUGCGCCGAAAAUGUACCGGGGCUAAGCAUAUUACCGAAGCUAUGGAUGCAUCCAUCAGGAUGCGUGGUAGGAGAGCGUUCCAAGGGCGAUGAAGUCAGACCGUAAGGACUGGUGGAGCGCUUGGAAGUGAGAAUGCCGGUAUGAGUAGCGAAAGACAGGUGAGAAUCCUGUCCACCGAAUGACUAAGGUUUCCUGGGGAAGGCUCGUCCUCCCAGGGUUAGUCGGGACCUAAGUCGAGGCCGAGAGGCGUAGACGAUGGACAACAGGUUGAUAUUCCUGUACCAGUUGAUUGUGCUUGAGUGAUGGAGUGACGCAGAAGGCUAAGCGAUCCGGACGAUUGGAAGUGUCCGGCCAAGCAGCAAGUCAGUUGAUGAGUCAAAUGCUUAUCAGCGGGUUGACAAGCUGUGACGGGGAGCGAAAUUAUAGUAGCGAAGUCGUUGAUGUCACGCUGCCGAGAAAAGCUUCUAGCGAAUAAUCAACUGCCCGUACCGCAAACCGACACAGGUAGUCGAGGAGAGUAUCCUAAGGUGAGCGAGCGAACUCUCGUUAAGGAACUCGGCAAAAUGACCCCGUAACUUCGGGAGAAGGGGUGCUGAUCGCAAGAUCAGCCGCAGUGAAAAGGCCCAGGCGACUGUUUAUCAAAAACACAGGUUUCUGCAAAAUCGUAAGAUGAAGUAUAGGGGCUGACGCCUGCCCGGUGCUGGAAGGUUAAAAGGAAGAGUUAGCUUCGGCGAAGCCCUGAAUUGAAGCCCCAGUAAACGGCGGCCGUAACUAUAACGGUCCUAAGGUAGCGAAAUUCCUUGUCGGGUAAGUUCCGACCCGCACGAAAGGCGUAACGAUCUGGGCACUGUCUCAACGAGAGACUCGGUGAAAUUGAAUUGCCUGUGAAGAUGCAGGCUACCCGCGACAGGACGGAAAGACCCCAUGGAGCUUUACUGUAGCUUGAUAUUGAGUGCUUGUACUGCUUGUACAGGAUAGGUAGGAGCCAUAGAAGCCAGGACGCUAGUUUUGGCAGAGGCGUUGGUGGGAUACUACCCUUGCAUUAUGAUCACUCUAACCCGCACCACUGAUCGUGGUGGGAGACAGUGUCAGGUGGGCAGUUUGACUGGGGCGGUCGCCUCCCAAAAGAUAACGGAGGCGCCCAAAGGUUCGCUCAGAAUGGUUGGAAAUCAUUCGCAGAGUGUAAAGGCACAAGCGAGCUUGACUGCGAGACAGACAGGUCGAGCAGGGACGAAAGUCGGGCUUAGUGAUCCGGUGGUUCCGCAUGGAAGGGCCAUCGCUCAACGGAUAAAAGCUACCCUGGGGAUAACAGGCUUAUCUCCCCCAAGAGUCCACAUCGACGGGGAGGUUUGGCACCUCGAUGUCGGCUCAUCGCAUCCUGGGGCUGUAGUCGGUCCCAAGGGUUGGGCUGUUCGCCCAUUAAAGCGGUACGCGAGCUGGGUUCAGAACGUCGUGAGACAGUUCGGUCCCUAUCCGUCGCGGGCGUAGGAAAUUUGAGAGGACCUGUCCUUAGUACGAGAGGACCGGGAUGGACAUACCGCUGGUGUACCAGUUGUUCCGCCAGGAGCAUCGCUGGGUAGCUAUGUAUGGAUGAGAUAAACGCUGAAAGCAUCUAAGCGUGAAACUCGCCUCAAGAUGAGAUUUCCCAUUCCUUAU
rnacentral:rRNA from 1 species